rnacentral:rRNA from 1 species
GAUGAACGCUAGCGGGAGGCCUAACACAUGCAAGCCGAGCGGUAGAGUCUCUUCGGAGACUUGAGAGCGGCGCACGGGUGCGGAACACGUGUGCAACCUGCCUUUAUCUGGGGGAUAGCCUUUCGAAAGGAAGAUUAAUACCCCAUAAUAUACUGGAUGGCAUCAUCUGGUAUUGAAAACUCCGGUGGAUAGAGAUGGGCACGCGCAAGAUUAGAUAGUUGGUGAGGUAACGGCUCACCAAGUCAGCGAUCUUUAGGGAGCCUGAGAGGGUGAUCCCCCACACUGGUACUGAGACACGGACCAGACUCCUACGGGAGGCAGCAGUGAGGAAUAUUGGACAAUGGGUGAGAGCCUGAUCCAGCCAUCCCGCGUGAAGGACGACGGCCCUAUGGGUUGUAAACUUCUUUUGUAUAGGGAUAAACCUAGAUACGUGUAUCUAGCUGAAGGUACUAUACGAAUAAGCACCGGCUAACUCCGUG